CACAGUCUCUGCCUCCUUUGUUCCACGGCUUCUCUCUCUCCUGUGCCUGUGUUUCUCCUCUUCUCUCUUACAGGCACACUGGCAUUGAUUGAGAGCCCACCCAGAGAAUGUAAAAUGACCUCAUCUCAGAGCCUGCCCUUGCUUAUGUCUGCAAAGCCUAUGUUCUAACGCAGGCAGUCCUCACUUCAUUGUACCACACAGACGUUAGACACAGCAGGGCAGAGGCUUCUCCUGCGUCUCAGAAGGGGCACGUGGCCACCAGACCCAGCAUCGUUUAGGCCUCGGGUGUUGCAAUUUUUACAAACGGAAGACCAGACUUCCACUAG